rnacentral:rRNA from 1 species
GUCGAACGCUGGCGGCGUGCUUAACACAUGCAAGUCGAACGGAAAGGCCCUGCUUUUGUGGGGUGCUCGAGUGGCGAACGGGUGAGUAACACGUGAGUAACCUGCCCUUGACUUUGGGAUAACUUCAGGAAACUGGGGCUAAUACCGGAUAGGAGCUCCUGCUGCAUGGUGGGGGUUGGAAAGUUUCGGCGGUUGGGGAUGGACUCGCGGCUUAUCAGCUUGUUGGUGGGGUAGUGGCUUACCAAGGCUUUGACGGGUAGCCGGCCUGAGAGGGUGACCGGCCACAUUGGGACUGAGAUACGGCCCAGACUCCUACGGGAGGCAGCAGUGGGGAAUAUUGCACAAUGGGCGGAAGCCUGAGGCAGCAACGCCGCGUGCGGGAUGACGGCCUUCGGGUUGUAAACCGCUUUCGCCUGUGACGAAGCGUGAGUGACGGUAAUGGGUAAAGAAGCACCGGCUAACUACGUG